AUUGAACGCUGGCGGCAUGCUUUACACAUGCAAGUCGAACGGCAGCGCGGGCUUCGGCCUGGCGGCGAGUGGCGAACGGGUGAGUAAUACAUCGGAACGUGCCCAGUAGUGGGGGAUAGCUCGGCGAAAGCCGGAUUCAUACCGCAUACGACCUGCGGGUGAAAGCGGGGGAUCUUCGGACCUCGCGCUAUUGGAGCGGCCGAUGGCAGAUUAGCUAGUUGGUGGGGUAAAGGCCUACCAAGGCGACGAUCUGUAGCUGGUCUGAGAGGACGACCAGCCACACUGGGACUGAGACACGGCCCAGACUCCUACGGGAGGCAGCAGUGGGGAAUUUUGGACAAUGGGCGAAAGCCUGAUCCAGCAAUGCCGCGUGUGUGAUGAAGGCCUUCGGGUUGUAAAGCACUUUUGGCGGGAACGAAAAGGACUGUGCCAAUACCACGGUUCGAUGACGGUACCCGCAGAAUAAGCACCGGCUAACUACGUG
rnacentral:rRNA from 1 species